GAUGCAAAUAGCGGGGUGGGUACCGCUAAAUUCAUUCUUAGUUGAAUGUCGAAUCGCUAAUACCAUUGUUGGUUAUGGUAGAACAGUUUUCCACACUGGUACGCUGUAUGACGUCGAGCAUUGCCAAAAUUGAAGUGCUCUUUGAAGAACUGAGCGUCUAAAUCUUCUUCAGUCAGAUGAAGCUAACGGAUUCGGAAAUCGUCGAAGAAGCAGAGGACAUCGCAGCUGAAAAAAAAAAAAACGUGAGUCAAACUCCUGUGGUUAAGUUCUGCAGCUACUCUCAACAUAUUUUGUCUUGUUUGCUCGUGUUGAUUGUAGACUGCUUUUAAAUUAUCUAUCAGGGAAGCCCUAAUAAGAGGUCCAAGAGAAAUUUAUUCGGGUCAACUGAUACCAUGCCACGUACUAAAUCGUUAAUGGUUUUCAGAUAAAAAAUAACCAUGGGAAUAUGGGGUCGCAGAAAUAGAUGUCACUGGUGGAAAAUAAGAAGGUGAUAUGGUAUUUUUCUUUUCUACUGUCUGAUUUUUAAAGAUUUGGUGAGGAACAUCCAAUCUGUCGAUCGCGGUCGCUAACCAAUUGUUAGAAAAACAGCACCAAUAAUGGUCGAGCUCGGAUGUGCUUUAUUCGAGAUUUUAACACAAAUUGCAUUUUAUACGUAAAAAAAUUUAUCAUAAAGCUACAAUGUUACAGCAUUACCCGUACUAUGGCUCGUCCCGGUUUGUAUUGCUUUGUAUAAUCUUUAGUUGAACGCUAAAUAUAUUAGAGGCUAGCUAAGAGAAUUUGGCUAGAUCUUUACAAGAUUA